rnacentral:lncRNA from 1 species
AUGGGGACCUUCGGGCAUGGAGCCCAGGCAUCUAUCAAGAUUUCGAUGAAGAUUCUGAUAAGCAUGAAAAGCAGACAUUUGGGAAAUAUUGGUAGGCGCCAUGACAGGAGUCUAGAAGGAGUCUACGAUGACCCCCAGGAGACACUGCUGGCUCAAGCCAUCGGUGAUUCAGCUGAGACAGUUAAGCAGGUUUGGAGGUGUGAAGAUAGAUAGAUGAGGAUGAGCUUCAUGUAUUCAGAAGGUAGGCGGCCCAGGUCCUUGCUUUUCUUUUCUUUCUUUCUUUUUUUUUUUUAAUAUAUAUAAUUUAUUAUCAAGUUAGCUAACAUACAGUAUAUACAGUGUAUUCUUGGUUUGGGGGUAGAUUCCCGUGAUUAUCGCUUACAUACAACACCCAGUGCUCAUCCCAACAAGUGCCCUCCUCAGUGUCCAUCACCCAUUACCCCCCUCCCCAAUGCCCUGGCCCAUCAACCCUGUUUGUUCUCCACAUUCAAGAGUGUCUUACGGUUUGUGUCCCUCUCUAUUUGGAAACAUUUUUUUCUUCUUCCCUUCUCGCAUGGUCCUCUGUUAAGUUUCUCAAGAUCCACAUAUGAAUGAGAACAUAUGAUAUCUGUCUUUCUCUGACUGACAUAUUUCACUUAGCAUAAUACCCUCCAGUUCCAUCCAUGCCGUUGCAAAUGGCAGGAUUUCAUUCUUUCUCAUUGCCAAGCAUUAUUCCAUUGGACCAUUCCCUGCAUGGGUUCCAUGCCUUUUUGGAUGAUGCCGUUCUUUCCACAGUGACCGCAACCCCACGUGCUGACUGGAGGGCCUAGCCCUUGGAGAACCAGG